CCGUAUUCUGACACCUUUCAGAGACGCCUUCCCUUCACGCUCCACCCUUCCAACAGUCCCUGCAGACAGGGUCUCACUCUGAAGUGCAGGUUGCCCUAAAACUAAUGAUGAGCCCAAGCUGACCGCAAGCUAACAACCCUCCGGCCUUCUCCUCCCAGGCACUGGAAUUACUCUUCAUGUAACACCACACCUGGCCCUGAAGUGAAAGAAAUGAUUUAUUGAUUUGGAUGUAUUACUAUCGUCAUGGAAGGAAGUCAGGACCGAAACUGAAAGGGGCAAGAGUCUGGAAGCAGGAGUGAAUGCAGAGGCCAUGGACAGGUGCUGCUUAUUGGCUUAC